rnacentral:rRNA from 1 species
UACGGAGGGGGCUAGCGUUGUUCGGAAUUACUGGGCGUAAAGCGCGCGUAGGCGGCUUUGUAAGUUAGAGGUGAAAGCCCGGGGCUCAACCCCGGAACUGCCUUUAAGACUGCAUCGCUUGAACAUCGGAGAGGUAAGUGGAAUUCCGAGUGUAGAGGUGAAAUUCGUAGAUAUUCGGAAGAACACCAGUGGCGAAGGCGACUUACUGGACGAUUGUUGACGCUGAGGUGCGAAAGCGUGGGGAGCAAACAGG